AUACGUAGGUGACAAGCGUUAUCCGGAUUUACUGGGCGUAAAGGGCGUGUAGGCGGUCUUGCAAGUCAGAAGUGAAAUUCCUGAGCUCAACUCGGGCGCUGCUUCUGAAACUGCAGGACUUGAGUGCUGGAGGGGAUAGCGGAAUUCCUAGUGGAGCGGUAAAAUGCGCAGAUAUUAGGAAGAACGCCGGUGGCGAAGGCGGCUAUCUGGACAGUAACUGACGCUGAGGCGCGAAAGCGUGGGGAGCAAACAGGAUUAGAUACCCUGGUAGUCCACGCGGUAAACGAUGAUCACUAGGUGUCCGUGGGUAUGACCCAUGGGUGCCGCAGCCAACGCAAUAAGUGAUCCACCUGGGGAGUACGUUCGCAAGAAUGAAACUCAAAUGAAUUGACGGGG
rnacentral:rRNA from 1 species